UACGGAGGUUGCAAGCGUUGUUCGGAUUUACUGGGCGUAAAGGGAGCGCAGGCGGUUAACUCAGUCUAAAGUGAAAGUCCGGGGCUCAACCCCGGAAGUGCUUUGGAUACUGGUUGACUUGAGUAUGUGAGAGGAGAGCGGAAUUCCAGGUGUAGCGGUGAAAUGCGUAGAUAUCUGGAGGAACACCGGUGGCGAAAGCGGCUCUCUGGCACAAAACUGACGCUGAGGCUCGAAAGCAUGGGGAGCGAACGGG
rnacentral:rRNA from 1 species